CACAAUCCACCCCAGAUACUGAGCACUUGCCAGAGACAAAAUCUUGGUCCUGUGAAAGCAAAGAUUUCUUCCCCAGGGAUACCCUGGGCAGAAGGGGUGCUCAGCCCUGGGGUGGUGCUGGGGCUGAGAGCUCUCCCAGGCCCUGCCCUUUAGUGCUGCAGUUAUUUAAAGCUGAAUAAGGGGUGCAGAGACUUGGCUGCCUCCCCCUGGCUGCUGCCUCCUGCCAAAUGGCAGCACAGAGCCCUUUACUGGUUUGUGUUGUUGCUAACUGCAGUGCUAGGAAGUUGAACACAGCAUUAAGUAUGCAGAGAAUUAAGUGAGUUGCAAUUUCUCCAGCAAAUCUUAGGGCUUUUGUGUGUUUAACAGCAGCACUUUUAGUCAGGAGAGGCCAUCUGAGAAUCAGCACCACUGGAUGGUGAUUUCUCCUGCUUAAGGGUUCCUUUUGUAACCAUGUCUGAGGCUCAUCUGGGUCUGAUCUCAUGUGUUCAACAGAGCUCUACAUCCCAGGCUGAAAAAUAUCCUUAAAGCCCAUUGAGAAACUGCUGAACCCACCUGUUUUCUGAAGCCCAGUUCGUUUGCUGGACAGCCAACGGGCCUGCUCUGUGGAAAAUGUGCUGCUACAAUUUUCUGGUUGGUCUAGAAGAUUUCACCUCUAUCAGGUAAUCCUCACUGCCUGGUUCACUACCAAAAUUUAAUGGAUCCUACUCAGCAGAGUAGCUGCUGGAUGACCAAUUCUCCUGGAUGUCGGAAGCAUGGCCAAGCACUAGUGCUUUGAUCACAGCAAGAGAAGAGUUGUGGCAGCAGUGCUGGGGCACAGAGCAUCUGGUAGUGCCAGUGCAGCCAUGGAUUUGUCAGCAUUUCUGUCGACAUGCUGCUUUUUGGGAUUUAUGAAGCUUCUCCAUAGCCAACCCCCCAGUUCAGUGCACAGGGCUGGCCCACAAGUUGAAUACUGACUUUUUUUCUGCAAAAUGUCACUGGAUCAAGCAAAUCAAGUCUGCGUGUGUACACUUUGAAGUGACCCAGACUUACAGGGGCUUGAGCAAGUGUGUCACAUCGUGCACCUGUGGGACUGUGAGGACUGUGGAAUAGGCCUGAAUAUAAGGCUUUGAAGCAGCAAAGGUUUGCAGGGCAGCACCCAUGAUCCAUCCUUCAAUCACUUCCUUCUUUUAUCU
rnacentral:lncRNA from 13 species